CGCAGCCGCGGUAAUUCCAGCUCCAAUAGCGUAUAUUAAAGUUGUUGCAGUUAAAAAGCUCGUAGUUGAAUCUCGGGGUCAGUAGAUUGGUCGUGCCACUGGUAUGUACUGGUCUCACUGGCUCCUCCUUCCUGAUGAACCGUAAUGCCAUUAAUUUGGUGUUGCGGGGAGACUGGACUGUUACUUUGAAAAAAUUAGAGUGUUUAAAGCAGGCUAACGCUUGAAUACAUUAGCAUGGAAUAAUGAAGUAGGACGUUCGAUCUUAUUUUGUUGGUUUCUAAGAUUGACGUAAUGAUUAAUAGGGAUAGUUGGGGGCAUUAGUAUUCAAUUGUCAGAGGUGAAAUUCUUGGAUUUAU
rnacentral:rRNA from 1 species